ensembl:snoRNA SNORA62 Small nucleolar RNA SNORA62/SNORA6 family
UCUGCACAUUGUUAGAGCUUGGAGUUGAGGCUGCUGGCCAGCUGAUAAACUCACAAGUGUAGGUAAGUGUGCUAUGUGAGGGGGGCAUGUCUUUCGCCAACACCACAAGGGUCUCUGGUCCAAUGAGUGGAGUUUGAUAGUAAUUCUUGCUAUAAGU